rnacentral:rRNA from 1 species
UACGGAGGGAGCUAGCGUUGUUCGGAAAUACUGGGCGUAAAGAGAACGUAGGCGGCUUAGUAAGUCAGAGGUGAAAUCCCAGGGCUCAACCCUGGAACUGCCUUUGAAACUACUAAACUAGAAUCCUGGAGAGGUCAGUGGAAUUCCGAGUGUAGAGGUGAAAUUCGUAGAUAUUCGGAAGAACACCAGUGGCGAAGGCGACUGACUGGACAGGUAUUGACGCUGAGGUUCGAAAGCGUGGGGAGCAAACAGG